CAGUAGCGCGGUAAUACGUAGGGUGCAAGCGUUAAUCGGAAUUACUGGGCGUAAAGCGUGCGCAGGCGGUUAUAUAAGACAGAUGUGAAAUCCCCGGGCUCAACCUGGGAACUGCAUUUGUGACUGUAUAGCUAGAGUACGGCAGAGGGGGAUGGAAUUCCGCGUGUAGCAGUGAAAUGCGUAGAUAUGCGGAGGAACACCGAUGGCGAAGGCAAUCCCCUGGGCCUGUACUGACGCUUAUGCACGAAAGCGUGGGGAGCAAACAGGAUUAGAUACCCCCGUAGUCCCUGUCUCUUAUACA
rnacentral:rRNA from 1 species